rnacentral:rRNA from 1 species
GACGAGCCCGUCCAAACGUUAUUCGGAAUCACUGGGCUUAAAGGGUGCGUAGGCGGCGCGGAAAGUUGGGUGUGAAAUACCUCGGCUUAACCGAGGAACUGCGUCCAAAACUACCGUGCUUGAGGAAGAUAGAGGUGAGCGGAACUUAGGGUGGAGCGGUGAAAUGCGUUGAUAUCCUAAGGAACACCGGUGGCGAAAGCGGCUCACUGGAUCUUUUCUGACGCUGAGGCACGAAAGCUAGGGUAGCGAACGGGAUUAGAAACCCGU